CCUACGGGGGGCAGCAGUGGGGAAUAUUGGGCAAUGGGAGAAAUCCUGACCCAGCGACGCCGCGUGAACGAAGACGGCCUUCGGGUUGUAAAGUUCUUUUAUGUGGGAAGAAGGAAGUGACGGUACCACAUGAAUAAGCCCCGGCUAACUACGUGCCAGCAGCCGCGGUAAUACGUAGGGGGCGAGCGUUGUCCGGAAUUACUGGGCGUAAAGGGCACGCAGGCUGUGCUUCAAGUCAGCUGUAAAAGGAUGCGGCUUAACCGUGUUAUGCAGUUGAGACUGAGGUGCUGGAGUACCGGAGAGGCAAGUGGAAUUCCCAGUGUAGCGGUGAAAUGCGUAGAUAUUGGGAAGAACAUCGGUGGCGAAGGCGACUUGCUGGACGGUAACUGACGCUGAGGUGCGAAAGCCAGG
rnacentral:rRNA from 1 species